UUGGGAGGGAGCUCAUCCUGUCCAGCUGCUCUGCCCAAGGGCUGUGACACAGUCCCAGCCCAGCUGAUCUCACAAGCUGGGACGUGAAGGGAUGGAGAGCAGCUCUGCCUAGAAGUAUUGGGGGUACUGCUAGAAGAGAGGCUGGGCAUGAGGCAGCCAUGUGCAUCGAAGGGAGAGUGCCCAGCAAAUUGAAGGCAGUGAUUCCCCACCUCUGCUCACCUGAACCUGCUGGUGAAGGUGGUGCAGCUUCCCAAGCCAUGUCCAGGACGGAGCCUCUGGGAGAUGCUGAGGGUGUGUCUGCAGGGAGGACUGCUCCAGCUCCUUUGCUGAUUCCUACACAGAAGCCUGGCUCCCAUGGCAGGGGUCCUCCGCAGGCGAAGAACAAAGCUACAGGACACCAGAAACCCCAGGAGCCAUCCGAAAACAUAAGGCAAAUGCUGAAGGAAAUGCAGCAGGCAGGACAAG